AAUGCGAAGCCCCUGAAUGAUUUCAUCAGAGAGGGGUGGCACCAUCAGGUUUACAUUCCGAAAAGAUGGCUUUGGCUGCAGUAUGAAGAAUGGGUUGAGGAGCUCAUGAGACAACCAGGCAGAAGAUGAGGCAAAGAUGAUGGUGGCUCAUGGGCAGGACUGAGAAAUGGCCACAAGGACCCAUGGGUGCUGAUAUUGCAUGCAGAGAUCUUGAGAGCUGUUUUGUGCAUUCUGUGGCUGGGUCUUUGAUCAGUGGAGAAAAUUUUGUGAUGGCAUCUGAAUCCACCUGGAACAUCAGUGCUCGUAUUGGUCACAACUUUUCUGGUGGCAAAUAACAAAAUCCUUCUCUAGUAUUGCACCGG
rnacentral:lncRNA from 1 species